AAUUGACUUCAGGGCAGGGUGUAAUUCCCUACCGGCGGUAUAGCCCGCGAGCCGAGAGGCAUGAUUCGGUUAGAUUCCGAAGCCGACAGUUAAAGUCUGGAUGGGAGAAGCUUUUA
rfam:Mogibacterium pumilum strain ATCC 700696 genome.